rnacentral:rRNA from 1 species
GAUGAACGCUGGCGGCGUGCCUAAUACAUGCAAGUCGAGCGAACAGACGAGGAGCUUGCUCCUCUGACGUUAGCGGCGGACGGGUGAGUAACACGUGGAUAACCUACCUAUAAGACUGGGAUAACUUCGGGAAACCGGAGCUAAUACCGGAUAAUAUAUUGAACCGCAUGGUUCAAUAGUGAAAGACGGUUUUGCUGUCACUUAUAGAUGGAUCCGCGCCGCAUUAGCUAGUUGGUAAGGUAACGGCUUACCAAGGCAACGAUGCGUAGCCGACCGGAGGGGGGGGUCGGCCACACGGGAACUGAGCCGCGGUCCAGACUACUACGGGAGGCAGCAGUAGGGAAUCUUCCGCAAUGGGCGAAAGCCUGACGGAGCAACGCCGCGUGAGUGAUGAAGGUCUUCGGAUCGUAAAACUCUGUUAUUAGGGAAGAACAAAUGUGUAAGUAACUAUGCACGUCUUGACGGUACCUAAUCAGAAAGCCACGGCUAACUACGUG